GAGUGCCUUCCUGCCUAGCGCUAACAUGUGGAGAUGUCUAGAUUUUAGACAUUCGACAUUGCAACUUGCUCCAAAUCUUUUCAAAUUUUAACCAUAGCUUCCACAUGCAAUAACAUGACGGGUCGCCAAGUUUCAUGAUUUUCAGAAUUCGUUUGGAUUUUAUAUAAUUUUCAUUCACUUUUCGCGCACGUAACUCGACAUGUUACCUCAGCGAGAUGGUCGAGAUUUCAUGUCAGGUCCUGGAUACGGACUCAAAAUACACCUAAUACCAUGACUAUCAUUUUUUGAAUCAUUGUGUUACGAUAUUUUAUGUACCUGCAGUUCAAAUUUGAAUUAUCCGAAAAAACACCAAGAAACAAAAAAAAAAUAGAUAAAUGUAGCAACAAAAGUCAAAAUAGCCCCAAACUUUAAAAUAGAGUUUCAAAUAGUGACACAAAGCAUCACAAAAAACUCAGGUCAAAAGACAAAAAAAAUGAAAAUACUUUGCCGAGUGCCUACCCAGCUGGCACUCGGCAAAGAACCUGCCUUUGCCGAGGGCCAAACGGAAGGCUCUCGGCAAAGCGGACGGCGGCCGCCUAUGUUAGGUGGACAGGAACUUUGCCAAGGGCACGUCUUUGCCGAGUGCGCUGCGCUCGGCAAAGAGGCUCUUUGCCGCCCGUCUUUGUUUGGCCC
rnacentral:lncRNA from 1 species